rnacentral:rRNA from 1 species
AAACUUUCAACAACGGAUCUCUUGGUUCUGGCAUCGAUGAAGAACGCAGCGAAAUGCGAUAAGUAAUGUGAAUUGCAGAAUUCAGUGAAUCAUCGAAUCUUUGAACGCACAUUGCGCCCGCCAGUAUUCUGGCGGGCAUGCCUGUCCGAGCG